AAUUGGAGGGCAAGUCUGGUGCCAGCAGCCGCGGUAAUUCCAGCUCCAAUAGCGUAUAUUAAAGUUGUUGCAGUUAAAAAGCUCGUAGUUGAAUUUCGGGAUCAAUAUUUCGGUCAUGCCGUUGGUAUGCACUGUUAUCAUUGAUUUCUCACCUUCUAAAGAACCGUAAUGCCAUUAAUUUGGUGUUACGGGGAAUUAGGACUGUUACCUUGAAAAAAUUAGAGUGUUUAAAGCAGGCUCACGCUUGAAUACAUUAGCAUGGAAUAAUGAAAUAGGACAUCCGAUUCUAUUUUGUUGGUUUCUAGGAUCGAUGUAAUGAUUAAUAGGGAUAGUUGGGGGCAUUAGUAUUCAAUUGUCAGAGGUGAAAUUCUUGGAUUUAUUGAAGACUAACUACUGCGAAAGCAUUUGCCAAGGAUGUUUUCAUUAAUCAAGAACGAAAGUUAGGGGAUCGAAGACGAUCAGAUACCGUCGUAGUCUUAACCAUAAACUAUGCCGACUAGGGAUCGGAUGAUGUUAAUUUUCUAAUGACUCAUUCGGCGCCUUACGGGAAACCAAAGUGU
rnacentral:rRNA from 1 species